AUACAAAAAUUUUACUUUUUGGACAUUUUCGAGGACUGGCUGAUGGAACGACCUGUAUAUUCAUUGAAGGAGUUCUUCGAUCUUCUAUAAAUACCACAUCAAUAUUUGUAAAGCAAGAAAUAUUAAUCUAAGUUUUUGUUAUUAUCUACUAUUGACGCAAUUGUAUUUCUUAAAG